rnacentral:tRNA from 1 species
GGGCCCGUAGCUCAGUCAGGAUAGAGCGGCGGCCUAGGCGCAUACGCGCCGCCGAACCUAAGCCGCAGGUCGGGGGUUCAAAUCCCCCCGGGCCCG